rnacentral:rRNA from 1 species
UGGGGAAUCUUGGACAAUGGGCGCAAGCCUGAUCCAGCCAUGCCGCGUGAGUGAUGAAGGCCUUAGGGUUGUAAAGCUCUUUUGUCGGGGACGAUAAUGACGGUACCCGGAGAAUAAGUCCCGGCUAACUUCGUGCCAGCAGCCGCGGUAAUACGAAGGGGACUAGCGUUGUUCGGAAUCACUGGGCGUAAAGCGCACGUAGGCGGAUUUGUAAGUCAGGGGUGAAAUCCCGGGGCUCAACCUCGGAACUGCCUUUGAUACUGCGGAUCUCGAGUCCGAUAGAGGUGAGUGGAAUUCCUAGUGUAGAGGUGAAAUUCGUAGAUAUUAGGAAGAACACCGGUGGCGAAGGCGGCCCACUGGAUCGGUACUGACGCUGAGGUGCGAAAGCGUGGGGAGCAAACAGGAUUAGAUACCCUUGUAGUCCCUGAGCGGGCUGGCAAGGCGCAU